rnacentral:rRNA from 1 species
UACGUAGGGGGCUAGCGUUGUCCGGAUUUAUUGGGCGUAAAGAGCGUGUAGGCGGCCAGGUAGGUCUGCUGUGAAAACUCGAGGCUCAACCUCGAGACGUCGGCGGAAACCAUCUGGCUAGAGUCCGGAAGAGGAGAGUGGAAUUCCUGGUGUAGCGGUGAAAUGCGCAGAUAUCAGGAAGAACACCCGUGGCGAAGGCGGCCUCUCUGGGCCGGUACUGACGCUGAGGAGCGAAAGCGUGGGGAGCGAACAGG